UACGGGGGGGGCAAGCGUUGUUCGGAAUUACUGGGCGUAAAGGGCUCGUAGGCGGCCAACUAAGUCCGACGUGAAAUCCCCAGGCUUAACCUGGGAACUGCGUCGGAUACUGGAUGGCUUGAAUCCGGGAGAGGGAUGCGGAAUUCCAGGUGUAGCGGUGAAAUGCGUAGAUAUCAGGAGGAACACCGGUGGCGAAGGCGGCUAUCUGGACAGAGUCUGACGCUGAGGCGCGAAAGCUAGGGGAGCAAACAGG
rnacentral:rRNA from 1 species